GGACAGGAUGGGAACUGAGUGACUAGAGAGCAGCUUUGUAGAAAAGGAGCUGGGGGAUUGUGGUGAACGAGCUGAAUGUGGGUCAACAGUGUGCUCCUGCAGCAAAUGUGUUCCACUCCAUAUUGGGCCAAGUACAACUGGUAGGGGUGGAGGGAAGCGAUUCUUCCCCUCUGUUUGACGCUUGUAAGACUGUAUCUGGAGUUGUGCAUCUUGUUCUAAGAAAGACAUUGACAUACUAAAGCAAGGUUAGUGAAGGCCACUGAGCUGUUCAAGGGGCUGCAGCUCAUGACAUACCAGAAGGAGCUAAGGGAGUUGGGUUCACUCAGGUUUAAAGGUGAUGAUGGUGAGGGCAUGUCACACUGUUGUCUGCCACUUCCUAAUGGAAGGGUGUAGAAAAGAUGGAGCCAGAUUCUUCCCAGAGGUGCAUUAGAGGCAAUGACCACAAGUUACAACAUAGGAAAUUCAAUAUAAGGAACAAUUUUUGGUUUUGUUUUUGUUUUUGGUUUUUUUUUUUUUACAAAGGAUGAUCAAAUACUGCUUGCCCAGAGAGUAUUUGCAAACUCCAUCCUUUGAGAUAUUCAUAACUCAGACAGGGUCCAGAGAAACCUACUUUAAUAGGACCAGCCUGAAGCAGAAAGCUGGACCACAGAUUUGCAAAAGUCCUUUAGCACCUCCAGGAUUCUAUGAUUUUGUGACGGGAUAGCAGAUCGUUUCAAACUAGUAGUUCAACCCUGCCAGGGAAAGAGACUUCAAUACCACUUUUCCUUUUGCCUAAAGGUUUUCAUGAAAUGAUGCCCUGCAGGCAGGGAAGGCAGUAGGCCUGUUCUACUGCAAUAACAAAUUAAUUGAUAAUUAUUUUUUCCAUGUAUCACCAACUAACCUAUGCAAAUGAACAGGUGAAAUCAUUUGUACUGAAUUCAAAGACAACUGAGACUUUGCCUACUUUUGUUAUCUAGACAGCUUUGUCAUAAACAGAAGCAGUGCCGGUUUCAUAAAGAAAUACUUUCCUGCAUUUUUAACUCGCUCUUCUGAAAUUCCAUGGACACUUGGCAGAGGAUAACCCCCCCUAAUUUAUGUGUCUAUGAAAGGUAAGGUGAGUGGAACUUAGCCCUUGUCUCUUCCAGGCUGAUCAGCUCAAGAGAUUAUCUUUCAACAGCUUUAAUGCCAUCCAGACUGCUUUGGGAACUGGGAAGUUACUGAAUGUAUCAUUAAGAAUGAUGAAUAGUAAUUGACCCAGAGAACUGUCAGCAGUAACAUCAGGAGUUGCUGUACCUGCAGUAAAUCAGACACUUCCAAUUCAGUCACAAGAUGUAAUAGUCAUUUGUUGAGGAGUAUGCACAGAGUGUGAGUGCACAACAUGCAGCUCAAUGUUCAGUAAAACAUUUGCUUAGCUAUUGUUUUGCCACUUGCUGCUGUUUUUAUUUCCAGUGAGAAGCAAGGACUCUCAUCUCAAUAGAAGGUAAGAAUUUAAAUGCAUUCUCAAAUCUGGGCCACCAUGACAAACAUAUUAUUAAGUUUUCUAUAUAGGCCUAUUUUUCCCUGCAUUUGGAAGGCAACAGAUACCAUGGGUACUAUAUUUAGAAUAAUUUAUGUAUCCUGUCAUUAUAAUAAAAACUUAAGCUUAUGCUUCUUUACAGUAUCAAUUACUGGCUUAAGAAUACUUUUUCUUAAAACUAAGAAAGAGUUUAUAGUUCUGUAGGUUUUAUAUUCCCUGAAAAAGUGAUCAGUUAUGGACAAGAGGAGACAUAUUUGGACACUUAUGAGCAGAAGACUUGUAGACUUACUGUCAGAAAAAGCUGAGAAAAUAGUUGAGUCUGAAGGGAGCUCCUGAAGCGAAGUCCCAUUACCUUGUAAAUAUGACAGUGCUCAGGGAAGAUGAUGAUACUUAACUCUUACAGAGUCUUCGAAGACGUACAGAAAUGUUGCAUAAUUUCCGUUGUACAAAUUGAAAACUAGGACACCGUUGGGUUUAGCAAUCUUAAGCCUUGGUUGUUCUUUUUUGUAUUAUUUUAAUACAACAAAGGUGACCUGAUCUAAAUACCUAAAUUGCUUCCUUGGUUUAAAAUAAACCAAAAUCCUAAUGGUGAUACUGUAUUUACUGAAUUUUGUAGAGUCAUAUAGAAAAACUUGUCAGCAGGCCCUGUAACUAAGUUCCUACCAUCCCAAACACACAGAGGGGCUGCAUGCUUUAAAAUAACAUGUAUGAAGACUCUUAUGUAUAAAUGAGAAAAAAGUUUUAACUGCAUAUAAGAUGUCAUCAUAAAAUACAUCAAAUGCCAUGAAUUACUCCACUUGUUCUAGCAGCAAUGAACUGUCCUCUUUCCAUUUAUUAUGCAGAGUAAGAGAAUUUGCUAUCCGGUGUGUAACAGACAUCAGGAUGUACAAGAUGGCAAGAAAAAACAGGGGAGCAAAGAAUCAGUCAUAGUAAAGCUUUAAAAAGAAUAGUUUUCUCUUCAGCUAUUAGGUGUGAAUUCUGCUAAAUGAAUUUAAAUUCUUGAAAGCGCUUAUCCUAAAUAUAAAUGGCAUCAAGUCAUAAGUAAUCUCAAGAACCAGCAGUCAAAAGGUGGCUAGUGACAAAGUAGUUAAUUCUUCUGAGGCCCUCUUUGUUAACUUCUGUUUUCAAGUGUAUGUUGUAGCUUUCACUACUUGGCCUUUCAAAGUCCGCAGAAAUACACAGACAUGUUCCCUAAUAGUCACUCUGCAGUGAUCAUCAAACUCUUUCAGUUGGCAAGUACUAAAUAUAUUUUUACCUUUUUAUGGCGUAGAACUUAGCGCGUUCUAAUUGUUUCUCAGUUACUUUACUUUAGUAUUUUCAUUUAAAAUAUGUUGAAUAGUAGAAAUCUUGUCUAGCUUUGUUUUGUGACUAUGGCACCCCAAAAAUAGGAAUAAUGGUGUUGCAUACAGAAUUUUAUGCUGACCAUAUUCAGAUUAAAAUAAACAGGUUAUGUAUACCUGACAUUUCUAUUUCACAGAGCAAACCAGUGCUGCAUAUACAGAGCAUUCUUAAUUUUAUGCGUGCUCUGCAUGCAAGAUCUGCAUACUUAAACUUAAUGGUGAUAUUGAUAUUGCUGUGAGAAUUCUAACCCUUUAAUUUCCUAAUUCUGUUCGGAAUUCUUUAAUGCCACAUUAAUGUUUUAAUGUUGCUCUAGUUAUUUAAUCUCUCAGAAAGAAGAAAAGAUAAACCCUUAUUAGUUUAUGCACCAAAUAAUCCCUAGGAAGGAUUUGCCAGGAACAGAUAAUCUUUGCUUGUUUUCAAGGCUUAUUUAGAAUGGAGGGUAAAGGGGAGGCAUGCCUAAACUUAAUUACAUAAGCAAUUCUAAUUAAUAUUUAUUCUGUAAAAGACUACACUGAAUUUUUGUUUAGAUUUGUUCUUUCUGAUAGUCACCAAAGAAAAUACCUGUAUUGUAUUUAUUUUAAAAACCAAAAGUCAAUGCUAUACAUCACUCUUUCAAAUGUAUGAAUCAAGGAUAACAGCAUGUUGAGAUGCUGCUAGAAGCUUAUUUUCUUCACUUCCAAUCAAAUAGUAUUUUUCAUUUAUUACUUUUUGUUGAAGCAACAAAUAGUUUGCUUGUGGAUAUGUGCAAUUGUGUUUUGCAUGUGCCUGCAAUGAACUAGAAUUAAAAUGUAAAGCAAAACAGUUCUCUGUAAUGACUUCAUCCCUGAACCUAGGGAAGGGCAUGAAUCUUCCUUUGGACAGAAAGGAACCACUAAAUAAUAUAAGCACUAGAGGAUCACUGACUUUUGUGGGAAAAGAAGUAUUUUGUACCAUAGCAUGUAUACUGUAUCCCCCCCUUCAGUUUUCUGUAAGCUGCAUAAUUAGCAGAUUACCCCACAACUGGAAGGACUGGAAUUAGGUGGGUCCUUUUAUGAUCAUUAUGAUUGCAAGUAGAAGGAAGAGGAGGAGCUGCAGCAGUCCUAAUUUUACUUGAAAUACUGGAUUUGGGAACUCAGGUGAGAACACAAAACACCACAAUCUCUUAUAGAAGGGUUGCCAUUGAAGCAAGUUUAACUGCUUACUAGUAGGCUGCUGCUUUCAAUUUUUUUGUUUGAAAUUUGGUUUUCAUCUCUUUGUUCUGGCCUCUGCCCAUCAUCCUUUUUUCUUCGGCUUCUUAAGUCACUUGUCAUUUAUUGUCAUAUAUGAGUUGAACGUCAUUUUGUCUGAUUUGUGUGCCAUAGGUCCUGAAAUUUCUUGUACCAGCCCAAGUAAUUUCUCUUUGAGCAAGGCAUAUCUUCUGUCUGCUUAAAGCAUAUAAUUAAAUUUGGAGUCACACAGUUUUAGAAGAUAAGGAACUUCCUGUUCUGUUAACAGAAGAACGUUUUGUAAGGGGCCCAUGGCUGGAGAAAAACUGAAUCAAAAGUAGGCACCAGAAGUAGAGAUGGCCUAGUUAUGAGAGGGUUUGUUUAAAACUCAUUGACUUACAGUAAGAUGGGACUAUGCAUACCUGAAGUGGGUCGUAUUUUUAUAGUAAAAAUAAAAUUUAAUAAAGACAACCGUUUUUCCUCAGCAAGAAAAAGGUGGUUUAUUCAUUAAAAUAUUUGUUAGAGAUAAUAAUUUGAGAGAGCCUUAGGGAAAAGGAAGGUAUUGGAAAUAAAUUCAAUACUAAAAUGUUUCAACUCACAGCCAGAGAAACUUUAGUCUUGACAAAACAUAAAUUAAAUGCCAAUGAUAUUUACUACAGGUUAGGUUCUGUCCUCAGUUAAAACAGUAUGUUCCUACUAUCUAAUGCCUGAGAUUCAGCAUUUUACAGAAGAAAGUACAUUUUUAUGUAAACAAACCAUCACUGCAACAUCUGGUCAGGCUCAAAAACCAAAGCUCAAUUUUACAAAUUUAAAUCAUGAGGCCCAGGAUAACUGAGACUUUAUACAAAAUCAGUGGGAAGGCAGAGAUGUAAACUUGGAAGAGCCUAGCUGCUUGUGUAAUUUUCUGUGCUUUGAAGUGUGCUAGCGCUGCUUACUCCAUCAAGAAUAAUCAUGCUGUAGUUUGAAAGAGAGGCUGACAUGCCCAAACAAUAUGUAUACAGAAAAACCCUCAGAAGGUAGGCAGUGGGUUUUUUUAAAAUAGCUUCUAACAAUGACUUAACAUAAUUACACAUGCCCUAGACUGAGGUCUGGAAGAACAUCCUGCCAAUUUUAAGCUUCCUUUUGUAAACAGCCACUGGGUGAGGUGCCACGUUUUAGAGUACAGCAUCCAAGUUAAAACCCCAACCAUCUAAAGUUUGGUUUGAGUCUUACAGCAUACAAGCUCAAAACUCAAAUUUGGUGAAAGUACAAGUGGUCGGAAACUCAAAAAUGGCUUUACAAAACAGAUUAAAAGAGUAUGAAAUAAAUGAAAAGUUGAUUAGUGCAAAGGCAUGAGAAAUGGCUGGACUCUGCCCGUUGUAGAAACCUGGUAAUGACAGUACAAUUCUGUUGCAAUUCCAAUUGUUUCCAUUCCUCCAUCACUUCAGGUAUCCUAUAUCCUGCCUUGUAAGACCCAUGUGGGCUAAGAUUGUUCUGAAAAGUCGUGCUGCUCCACCAGUGCCAUUAUUUGCAAUGGCUACUGUGAACUGCUGAUUCACCUGGGUUCUCUUCCAUACUUCAGAACUAGAACUCUGUGAAACUAGGUGAAUUGUCUUAGUCCACUGUUAUGGAACUCUUAUCGCUUCUGAAAUUGCAUAUAUUUAUAGGAGUAAUUCAUAUAUACCUAGAUGCUUACAAUGCAGCAGAAGUUAUGUCAGCACUACUAAACUAGGCAGCGGUAUAAAGUUUAUACUUGCUUCCCCAAAUUCUUGAGCAUUACCCAUAUUGGGGAAUACUGACUCUUUCAGAUAAGAAGCAAAUGUGCCAACCUUGUUUUUCCAGAUAGAAAUUUCUGGGUGUUUAUGUCAGGAUUCACAGACUCAUAGAAUGCUUUGGGUUGGAAGGGGCCUUAAAGAUCAUCUAGUUCCAACACCCCUGCCGUAGGCAGGAACACCUUCCACUGGGUCAGGCUGCUCAAAGCCUCAUACGAAGCAUUCUCAUGCUUUUCAGCUCCACUUCCAUGAUUUCCUGGAAGAGCACAUUGCAGGGGGAGGAAUUUCUGUUUUGGCUACAUGGAUAUAGUUGAGCAAGGCAGAGAGACAUUUUGACCUAAGGCUGCAGGUAAGUAGAGACAGUGACAAUGCGUUAAUAGUUUUCAGGAUGUGAGAGAUACAGUUUAGAGGCUUUGAAGAUAUUUAACCUACUUAGCUCACCUAUGAAAAGUAUAAUCCGAUUGCCAUCUUACAGAGGUUUGUAAGCACCUACUCUUUCUGUUGAAAUUGUGAAAUGAAUUAAGAGCGUUUCUUAUUCAGCGACAGAGAAAGAACCAUACGCCAGCAACGCUGUAGCCUGUGAUCUGUCGUUGAUCCCUGCUUGUUUAUGCAAAGGUUGCCUGCAAAACUCCCUUCAGAGACAUCACUGCUAGUAAGAGCAAUCUAAGUGGCAAAGUGUGUGUCUAUGUUAGCAUUUUGGUUUGGCUUAGAAGUGAGCUAAAUUGAUUGUCCCUAUGUACUGUGCUUUGAUUCAUUUUACAGAGUCAUCUCAGAGCGUGUGACCUGGAUUCCUUUGGGGUGAAAUGAAACAGGAAGGUGUGCUCCAACCACUAUAUUCAAGCCAUGUGUUCAGACUAAAGUUAUUCCAAAGUAAAGCCCCUGAAAUGUUCAUUGGUGCUGGGGAUUUGACAUCCACACAACUUUUGCUCUACAAAUCGUCUUCUCUUGAACAGAUCUGCUUGCUAAAGUUGAUGUGGCGAGAUAUGACUGAUGGAUUUCUACGCUAACUCCUAUGCAAAACCCCGUUGGGAUGUCAUCCAGAGGGACCUGGACGGACUGGAAAAGUGGGCCUGUGUGAACCUCAUGAGGUUCAACAAGGCCGAGUGCAAAGUCCUACACCUGAGUUGGGGCAAUCCCCCAUUUCAGUACACAAUAGGGGAUGAUGUGAUUGAGAGCUGCCCUGCAGAGAAGGACUUAGGGGUGCUGCUCGAUGAGAAGCUUGCCAUGAGCCGGCACUGUGCACUCGCAGCCCAGAAGACCAACCAUAUCCUGGGCUGCAUGAAAAGAAGCGGAGCCAGCCCCUCUAUUCCUCUCUUGUGAGACCUCAUCUGGAAUACUGUGUCCAGUUCUGGAAUCCUCAACAUAAGAAGGAUAUGGAGCUGUUUGAACAGGUCCAGAGGAGGCUAUGAAGACAAUCAGAGGGCUGGAGCACAUUCCAUAUGAGGACAGGCUGAGGUGGGUUUGUUCAGCCUGGAGAAGGCUCUGAGAUCUUAUAGCGAUCUUCCAGCACCUGAAGGGGCUACAAUAAAGCUGGAGAGGGACUGUUUGCAAAGGCUUGUGGUGAUGGGACUGAGGGGCAAUGGGUAUAAGCUGGAGAAGGGCAGAUUUACACUGGACAUAAGGAGGAAUUUCCUCACGCUGAGGGCGGUGAGGCCCUGGCCCAGGCUGCCCAGGGAAGCUGUGGCUGCCCCAUCCCUGGAGGGGUUCCAGGCCAGGUUGGAUGGGCCUUGGAGCCCCGGAUCCAGUGGGAGGUGUCCCUGCCCGUGGCAGGGGGCGGCGCUGGAUGGUCUUUAGGGUCUCUUCCAAUCCGAACUAUUCUAUGAUUCUAUA